UCUCCCAUUUUCCUCUGUUUUUGUAUUUAUUCGCAGGAAGUUUCUAGAUUUAUAUUUACUAAAGGUCUCACUGUUGUUUAGUGGUUUGUGCUGUUGCCUUACAGCAAAGAAGAUCACCAGAUCAAUCCCGUGCCUGUGAUUAUGUGUAUUCAUCCAGUAUACUGUAUGUUUGUUCUCAGCACGUUCUUAACCAGAUUUAGAUUUUGUCUCUUAGUCCAAACACAUGAAAGAUUAUGGUGAUGAUUCUCUGUUAAUUGACCAUAGGUGUGAAUGUGAGUGUGAAAGGUUGUUUGCCUCUAUACGUAACCCUAUCGUGUACCCCGCCUUCAUAGGACUGCUACUUCUGAAAGGGAUAAAGCCACAAAAAAGAUAAAUAAUAAAUAUUUACAUUUGGUGUCUGUAGGUGGCAGUAAUGUCACUCCAAGGUGUCAUAACUGCUGUUUGAACCCAACGAAGAAAUGUGUGUUAAGUAUAGGGUUAGACUCAGCUCACAGAAGGAGCAUUUGCUGUACUUACUGUAGUUACAACUCUGGAAAUUAAAUACUUUUUCCAUAGCCUGAUAAUAAGAUUUCGUGAUAUUUUUUUUAGGUUGUGGGUCACUUGGCCUGCCCACAUGGUAUUUAUUGGUGACAUUUCUCAUAUAGAGAUCCACAUCUCUGAUUGUUACGUCAAGAUGAUUCGUCUAUAUAUGUACAUUUGAGAACUCCACUUUAAUGAAUGUAAACAAAAAGAAAAUGAUAUUUUGAUGUCCAAGCAUAAAUGUCAGUGCAGCGUCUCAUAGUGGUGAUAUUAUUAUUGGUUCUGUUGUUGUAGCUCUCAUUCUCAAAUGUACCAUCGUUCUUCCAGUAUUGCAUGAAAUGUGUAAAAAGGGCAAGAAAAAGCCAACGUGGUGUUUGAGUGCUAGCAAGUGUGACAUGAUGGAAACGGACAGGGAGGGAGGAAGACAAGGCUUGAGUGUAUUUAGCUCUCUUUGAGGGGGAUUUCCCUUUCUCCACCAGGGUUAGACUGUACACUGAGGUGGAAAGAAGGAAGAGAGAGGCUGCAUUUCUGUCAUGAAUAAUGUAAAUAUUAAAUAACAAAUACACAUUUGUUUCUUAAACAUUAUUGUGUGCAUGUUGGGAAAUGUUCAUUCCGAUUAAUGGUGAACCUAAUUCUCUAAAUAUUUGCUUUAUUCAUUAUGGUUUACAAUAUAAUAUAAACACAAGUUGCCAUGUUUGCAGAUGAUGAAGUCCACUGUUUAGAUCAAAUGUUAAACAAUAUUAGUGGUUCAGAUACAUUUUUAGCUUCUACUUUUUUCCCCCAUCCAUCUGCGUGGAUGGCUUUCGAACACCCAACACUGAUGUGGCUCUCUAUUGAAAUGAAGGUGGCAGCAGUGGUCCUCGACUAGUUUUAAUUUGAGACCCCUGGGCUAAAGAGAUACUUAGAAGAAUGACUCCUUAUUUUUGUCACAGUGUUAGUGUUCUUUUCAACACAGACUUGUUAUCGUCAUCGCUCUUGGCCGAAAAUACUCGCUUUGAACGGGCGUUAAUGUUGAGUUUUAGCUAGGUUUUACUGACAUCAUCAUAUGUUGGCAGAGCCUUUUUUUUCCUCUUAUUUUGGUUUCGGGGACAUUUCAGAAGUUUGUUUUGUGAAGUCCCCGCUGUUCUGUUUGUCUCCAGAAAGUGAACAGAAAUAGUCUCUUUCGUCUCCUGGAGCAGCCUUUCAGAUAUGUUGGUUACUGCCUUUCAGAGGCAUUUCCUUAGUAACAGAGAGUGAGCUUUAUAUAAUGGUGGUAUAUGAACAUGUUCAGUGGAGUUUGCGAAUGUGUGAGUCACACAGCUUGCAGACCCCAGGGCAAGUGUGUUUUGGAGGUUUCCCUUUCACUUUCAGCCCGAGAUAGAUCCUGUGAUUAGUAAAAAAAAAAAAAAAAUCUGUUACCAUUCAAUAUUAAUUUGGGAUUUUAACAUUUGACAUUUAAUGUAAUGCCCCAGUGUCCAUAGGUUUGUAGUGAUGCAGGUUAAACAUCAUUUUUUGGUUGGCCAAAAAUCCAAACCACCACUCCUUAAACUCUCAUUUCCUCAAAGCCUAUUUGGGCAAACAGUGCUAAUGCUUGGUGGUGCUAAGCAAACUUGCUGUCCUGAAGCUGUCAUGAAUAUUAAACAUUGGCAGCAGUGUCCCAACGCAGCCAAUGACUCUAUUCCUUUAUGUCUGUAAAGUUUGUUGUGGAUUUUUUACCACAAUAAAACUAGUUUUGUUCUAAAGUAGGUUUCUAUGUCAGAUUGAACAGAAGUCAACUGGCAACAACGCACACACUGCUAACCCUCCUUCCAUAUCCAUAUGUAAUUUAAUCUCAUGUUGUGUGCAGUUGCAAAAUAGUUGAUACUGCUAAAAUAAACAGUUAAACAUCAAUAAGUAUUCAUUUGGGGUUUUUUUGUUUAUUAUUUUAUUCCUGUGUCAAAUGGAGAAGAGAAUAUAUUUAUUUUAUAUUUUCUGCAUCUCUUCUGCUCCUCAAGUACAGAGUGGUUUCCUGGGUAUCAGUACGAAAAUGAAUUUCCAUUUUCAUGACAACCCUAUAUGUACUUAGUAGACACUAUGGGCAGUGUGCAACAUUACCAUGGUUACUACUUUUUUUUAUAGGUCUCCCCUCUGUGUGUAGGGGGGUGUAAGAGUGAGAAAAUUAACCAAGGACACAAUAGCCUCACAGUGGCUUAAUAUGUAGCCUCUGACUGUUACUGUAAAUCACAGCCAAAGAACUGUAACACAACUAUAGAACAUAGAACAACUUUUAAAUGUUCAGACUGUUCUGUGGUUAAAAAUCAUUACGGCGUUGAGACGUUUUUUUUCCUGUAACAGAAGAAAAAAGGACAGAGAUGCUCUCCAUCCCUUUUGUGAAACUGCUCUGUAAUAAAGGGUGACAUAAUCGUUACAAAAAUAUUGACAGUCAGCAUCUCCUGCUAAUUCUGAUAAUGCUCUGGCGCUAUGAAGUCAGAGCUCGGCCGGGACCCAGCAGUAAGCAGCAGGGACAUUUCUCUGAUUGAUGGUGGACUCUGUGGUAUUGGCCUGGAUCAAUACACUACCAGCUCAGCCCACUGUGCCAAACAAAAGGGACAAAAGUAUGCUCACACAUGCCCUGUACUGUCAGGCUACCUAUAUGAAUGGCAGUAUACCCAAGCAGCAGUUAGUCUUCGAGGAACAAAUUACUCCCUGAUGCAUUUUAGUGCUACCACCUACAUGUCUGAGCCUGGGGACGUGGUGUUGAAUGGCCUCAACACCAAAUAUUCCAUUACAGUUAUUGAUCGAAGACACACACACGCACACACAGCCACUGUUCCAAUAUUUCUAAAUCUCAUUUAAGCUACAAGGUGCCAUGUGCUGGUAAAAAGUUUGCCUUAAAUAAAUUUACAACAUGAGUCACAGUUAAACCCGGCAGCCCAGAUGUUAGCUAAUGUCUAUUUUCUACUAGUUGUUUUUCAAUGGUUAUCAUGCGCAGAAGCCUGAACCCUUAGGAAGAAGGACAUAUUUGCACAAGCAGUAGACUAAGGAUUAAUGAGUCAAAAGAUUUUUUUUUCUCAGUGGGAUGAGACCAAAGAAAUGUUUGUUUGAAGUAGACGUCAAUAUGUCCGGAGGAGGUCAGGAGGAAAUUGCAUCAAUGAUUGGUUAAACCCUUCUGUAAAGCAUGUCGGCAGCGCUAGGUAUUGAUUUAGAGUUGCAUUUUGGGAAGUGUUUUUUUUCUUCUUUUUUUCUUGUUACCUGGUAUACUUUUAUGCUGCGCUAUCCUGAAAAACCCAAAAAAAAAACUGUAUGCAGCGAUUUAAUUUUUUUUUUUAAAUUUACUUUUCAAAAAAUUAUUUCAUUCUGAUAGAUUGAUAAAUUGAUCAGUAAUUAAAUACAUUCCUUGGUAGAAAAUGUUGGCUCAUGAGAUAGCUGCAUCAUCAGCAUAAUGAUUUAAGUGCAGCACUGAGUUUUCACUUUAUCUCCUUAUAUUGCUUAUCAAUAGUAAAACAUUUUUAGCCAUUUGUAAUUCAGAUCCUUUGUCUUGACUUGUUGGGGUGAACACUAUGGAGCUCAGUCCACAAACGAGACUCCCCUUGUUAGAGCUGGCACAACAAAACGACAAAGUUACUAUCACAGAUAAUUAGCACCCCAAAGGGGGUUAUUAACUCAAUUUAUUCAGCUGGGCUUUUUCCGUUUUUAGAUCUGUGCCCAUUCACAAGAAAGUGGUCUGUCCUGGGAUCACACGUCAAACCGAGAAAAAACUAUUAUUUUGUUUAUAAUUGAGGACAUAGACAAAGUUAAAAUAGCAAUUAAAACUGUGUGUAAACAACAUUUACAGUUACACAGUUAAUGAAGUUAAUUAAAGAUUUUGUUUAUCAGAAACUGCCCUGAAGAGACAACGUUUUUUAUUCAAUCAUAUACUAUUUUAUUGACAUAAAAAUGUUCUGCAUGGCUUUGUAUAAUUAUUAACUAAUACAUUUUAAUCUUUAUGAACCUCACCAUAGACAGCUAUGAACAUGCUCUUUUGCCGAGCAGUCACCUCUUAACUUGUCUUUUGUUACAUGUAUAGGUAAAAGUACCAAAAUCACUGUCUAAGACACAAGCAGCCCCAUUGUGUAACCACAAAGGCAUUGGUGUGUAUAUGGUUUGUGUUGUUUGUUUUCAUUUUCCCAGCCUGUGAGAAGCGUCUGAAGUAACACACAAAGACGUUGACAUGGGAGAGAUGAGAGCUGGACUGUUUUUUUGAAUUGGAUCCAGUGUUUUUCCCCCCAGUGUUUUUCCAAAUGCUUGACACAUUUUUCUCCUCUGUCUCCCACUCAUCACUCACUGUCUUGUGAUGCAUUGCAACACUGUCGGCAAACAUUGAAACUAUUGACAGAAACUCUCAGCCCUCCCCAGGCCCCAAGACAUCAAUGUCCAUAAUUUACGUUUAAGUUCCUGCAGUUUUUACCCACAGAAAAUUUGUUAUGUCCUUAUUUAAGAAGGUUUCAAAUACAUCAAACAGGCCUGAUUUGAUACAUGACUGAAUUUGUUCAGUCCUACAUAUUUUAGCUGAUGUUGUGAAAUUUGUAGGUUGUAUUUAUUAAGGACAAAUUUCUUUCCUGGAUAAUCUUUUUUUAAAAUUUUCAAACAGACUAUACGAUUUGAAUCAACUGGCAGUGGGCAGAUGAAGCAAUCGUAUGCUCAUCAUUGGUUCAAAUUGGUCCAUUUUACUCCAGCUCCAAAAACACCCUACGCUUUGUCUAAUUCUGAAUGGACUCAUUUGGCAGCCUGGUGGUGAAUGCACGACGGCGAGCACAUUCUGACAGUUCAGAGCUGUAAAGCAGUGAAUGGUAGCAGUGGUAUCUCAUACUACUGGUAUUUACUCCUAGUUGUUGGUGUUACAAUACUGUUUAACACAGAAUGACCAAAGGACUGUUUGGAUUUGAUCUCCUGCUGCAUUUGCUCUGCCUUGACUCACGCGGACAAUCGAAAUAUUGUCUGCACUUGAACUUCACAAUAAUAAUCAAAAUUACUAUAUAAGGAUAUCAAUACAUACUGCUUUACUCAAAAGUAAUAAUAAAAGUUUAUCAAAUUUGACUUUAGUGAAAAACUGAAUCAAUAAAUCGAGAUGCAUGAGAACUUACGUAAUCAGUUUUUUUCAUCUACAGUUAUCAGUGUUGUAUUUUUGUUGUCUGUCAACGGUAUCAUUAGAUUAGUACAAACAACUAAUAAAACUCACUAAUUGAAGCUAUUACAGAUAUAAACACCGGAUGUGCUUCACUGUCUGCCUGUAUCUGGAGUGUCAUAGUUAAGGUUAGCUGACAUCAUUGCUCAUAUCUAAGCCGCAAAUAAUAAUAAUAAAAAAAUAAAAUAAAAACUUUCCACCCAAACAGUCAAGAAUUACAAUCUCAUUUGUCAUGACUGUUAACUAUGGUAAACCUAGGUGUGCUGUCAGGUCACUCAACUCUUUAUAGCUGGAAAAGUGUGGCAGAAAUGAACAUAAUUAACAUUUGAAUAUGAUAUUCUUGAACACAUUAUUUUUUCUGUUCUGAAUUUUUUUAAAGUACCUAAAAAGGAACAAAAAAAUUACCCAACCACUACCAAAGCUUUUAACUGCACUAUACACUGUGUACCUAGUUGUAUAUUUGUACUGUAUGAUUGUGCACACCGAUUGUGGUGCCUGUGUCAUUUACGUGGUAUUUCAACAUUUCUUUGUUGACCAGAAGAAUUUGUCCAGAUAAUGAUCUAACCCGUGACUCACACAGUUGCACUGUCAUAAACAAUCUAAAAAACAGAGACACAGACGAUGCUUAAUAUCCACUGGAUUGAAUGUGUUUCAAGGAAGAGAACUCUCAAUAUUUUUCAGAAUUUCUGUGUAUUGAUUAGCAAAGGAAGACAGUUUUCUUUAUUUCCGUUUUAGCACAGUCAGAUUUAUUUAAAAAGUGGUAACCCAUUAGUAGAAAACCAUGGCGACUCUAUCCUUCUUAGGUCCUGGUCUGUCUAAGUCAAGUAUGGACUCAGACUUCCUUCCUUGAACUUUGUCUUCUUCCACAUUAGUGCUGUACUAUCAGCUUUUAUAAAUCUUAAGUACUUGCGGGAAAGUACAGGGAAGAGGAAUAAAUAUAGGUUAAUAUGUUCUAUAUCUGAGCAAUAAAUCUUAUCAUUUAAUUGGUAACACAUUUAUAGCGUGAUAACAGUUACCUAAAGAGUAAACAUAGUAUUUCUGAAACUGGGCUGCUGCUGAAUUUAUUGAAGAAGAUUUUGUAAACACAGCAGAUCAAUAACCUCACUGAAUUUAUUGAUUACCGUAAUGGAUUCAACUAACUUCAACUCUGAGGGGCUGUUCGUAAGCUUAAUUGUUCGUAAGUCUUUAUACAUUUUAAUCUAUAAUUGCCGUUUGAGGUAAUUUAAAUGCAAUUACUACUCUAAAUAAAAAUGUACUAUUCCCUAAGACUUACCAGAAACAAUUACAGGACAUAAAAACAACACAUAAACAUGAUUUUACAGUAUAUAAUAAAAAGAAAUGAAAAAAUUACUGCAGUACCACAAUGUAACUUACAGUAGACGGUGAAAAGUUAUUGUUGGUGAGAGGUAGAGUUGUUGUCAGGUUAACUUACAGAAAUGGUAAAGUAUCCAAGGGCCUAGCCUAACGAAGCCUAACGAAGCCUAACGAAGCCUAACGAAGCCUAACAUGCUGAGAUGCUCACAGAGACACGUGCAGGAACGAACUGGGCGAAAUGAACUGGUGUAUGGAGCGGUGCUGCUCGGCGUGUGUUGUGGCAGAAAGGGGAACUAGUCGGAUGUGGCGCGCGGUUCAAAAUGCGAACUUGCGAACCCAAUACGACAUUUUACGAAAAUUUAUGGACAUCAGUCAGUGGCUGUUUGUAUCUACGAAUGUUCAUAACUCGGAUGUUCGUAUCUCGGGGAACUGCUGUAUUGUUUUCUCCCCCAAUGAAACGUUGACUCAAAUCUGUCGUCAGACGUCCUUAGAUUGAGCAGUGAACCAAUUACACCGCAAAUCCACCCUUUAACAUCACCAGUCAUGAUCUAUUUUCAGGUUGCUCACUCCCACUCCGUCUAAGGGAAGUGAUUGUGUUGACCUUUUUGGUCCUGUAAAGCUCACAUAAUGGCUCCCUUAUUGAAGACACCGCUGACAACCGUCACUUAGGAGGGAAGACAGGGUUGCUUGCUGCUCGCUCGUUCAAUGGCAGCCAAAAGCACAAAGAAAUGUGUCUGCGUGCACACGUGUGCACAAUGACAUAGCGGUGGCAACUUUUUUUUCUGUCUCUUUACUCGGCGGUUACAAACAGCAGGGGGUUCAAGUGAUUUCGGAUGACAGCACCGUGUGCUGGCAAUCAGUGAGACAAAGCUACGCUGGGAAAAAAAAAA